rnacentral:rRNA from 1 species
UACGUAGGGGGCAAGCGUUGUCCGGAAUCAUUGGGCGUAAAGCGCGUGUAGGCGGCCAUCCAAGUCCGAUGUGAAAGCUCGGGGCUCAACCCCGAGUCUGCAUUGGAAACUGUAUGGCUUGAGUCCGGAAGAGGCGAGUGGAACUCCUGGUGUAGCGGUGGAAUGCGCAGAUAUCAGGAAGAACACCAACGGCGAAGGCAGCUCGCUGGGACGGUACUGACGCUGAGACGCGAAAGCGUGGGGGAGCGAACAGG